rnacentral:rRNA from 1 species
AGACCCGAAACCCGGUGAUCUAGCCAUGGGCAGGUUGAAGGUUGGGUAACACUAACUGGAGGACCGAACCGACUAAUGUUGAAAAAUUAGCGGAUGACCUGUGGCUGGGGGUGAAAGGCCAAUCAAACCGGGAGAUAGCUGGUUCUCCCCGAAAGCUAUUUAGGUAGCGCCUCGUGAAUUCAUCUCCGGGGGUAGAGCACUGUUUCGGCUAGGGGGCCAUCCCGGCUUACCAACCCGAUGCAAACUGCGAAUACCGGAGAAUGUUAUCACGGGAGACACACGGCGGGUGCUAACGUCCGUCGUGAAGAGGGAAACAACCCAGACCGCCAGCUAAGGUCCCAAAGUCAUGGUUAAGUGGGAAACGAUGUGGGAAGGCCCAGACAGCCAGGAUGUUGGCUUAGAAGCAGCCAUCAUUUAAAGAAAGCGUAAUAGCUCACUGGUCGAGUCGGCCUGCGCGGAAGAUGUAACGGGGCUAAACCAUGCACCGAAGCUGCGGCAGCGACACUGUGUGUUGUUGGGUAGGGGAGCGUUCUGUAAGCCUGUGAAGGUGUGUCGUGAGGCAUGCUGGAGGUAUCAGAAGUGCGAAUGCUGACAUAAGUAACGAUAAAGCGGGUGAAAAGCCCGCUCGCCGGAAGACCAAGGGUUCCUGUCCAACGUUAAUCGGGGCAGGGUGAGUCGACCCCUAAGGCGAGGCCGAAAGGCGUAGUCGAUGGGAAACGGGUUAAUAUUCCCGUACUUGGUGUUACUGCGAAGGGGGGACGGAGAAGGCUAUGUUGGCCGGGCGACGGUUGUCCCGGUUUAAGCGUGUAGGUGUGUGUUCCAGGUAAAUCCGGUUCACUUUAACACUGAGGCGUGACGACGAGGCACUACGGUGCUGAAGCAACAAAUGCCCUGCUUCCAGGAAAAGCCUCUAAGCAUCAGGUAACAUCAAAUCGUACCCCAAACCGACACAGGUGGUCAGGUAGAGAAUACCAAGGCGCUUGAGAGAACUCGGGUGAAGGAACUAGGCAAAAUGGUGCCGUAACUUCGGGAGAAGGCACGCUGACACGUAGGUGAAGUGAUUUACUCAUGGAGCUGAAGUCAGUCGAAGAUACCAGCUGGCUGCAACUGUUUAUUAAAAACACAGCACUGUGCAAACACGAAAGUGGACGUAUACGGUGUGACGCCUGCCCGGUGCCGGAAGGUUAAUUGAUGGGGUCAGCGCAAGCGAAGCUCCUGAUCGAAGCCCCGGUAAACGGCGGCCGUAACUAUAACGGUCCUAAGGUAGCGAAAUUCCUUGUCGGGUAAGUUCCGACCUGCACGAAUGGCGUAAUGAUGGCCAGGCUGUCUCCACCCGAGACUCAGUGAAAUUGAACUCGCUGUGAAGAUGCAGUGUACCCGCGGCAAGACGGAAAGACCCCGUGAACCUUUACUAUAGCUUGACACUGAACAUUGAGCCUUGAUGUGUAGGAUAGGUGGGAGGCUUUGAAGUGUGGACGCCAGUCUGCAUGGAGCCGACCUUGAAAUACCACCCUUUAAUGUUUGAUGUUCUAACGUGGACCCGUGAUCCGGGUUGCGGACAGUGUCUGGUGGGUAGUUUGACUGGGGCGGUCUCCUCCUAAAGAGUAACGGAGGAGCACGAAGGUUGGCUAAUCCUGGUCGGACAUCAGGAGGUUAGUGCAAUGGCAUAAGCCAGCUUGACUGCGAGCGUGACGGCGCGAGCAGGUGCGAAAGCAGGUCAUAGUGAUCCGGUGGUUCUGAAUGGAAGGGCCAUCGCUCAACGGAUAAAAGGUACUCCGGGGAUAACAGGCUGAUACCGCCCAAGAGUUCAUAUCGACGGCGGUGUUUGGCACCUCGAUGUCGGCUCAUCACAUCCUGGGGCUGAAGUAGGUCCCAAGGGUAUGGCUGUUCGCCAUUUAAAGUGGUACGCGAGCUGGGUUUAGAACGUCGUGAGACAGUUCGGUCCCUAUCUGCCGUGGGCGCUGGAGAACUGAGGGGGGCUGCUCCUAGUACGAGAGGACCGGAGUGGACGCAUCACUGGUGUUCGGGUUGUCAUGCCAAUGGCACUGCCCGGUAGCUAAAUGCGGAAGAGAUAAGUGCUGAAAGCAUCUAAGCACGAAACUUGCCCCGA